rnacentral:misc_RNA from 1 species
GUGAGUCAUCGAAUCUUUGAACGCACAUUGCGCCUUCCGCGAGGGAGGCAUGCCCGUCUGAGCGUCGUUUGAACCCCUAGGCCUCGCCCUCCUCGGGCGGCGCCUGUCUUGGGCCUCGCCGAAGCGGCGUGGCCCGGAUGCCAUCGGUUCGACCGUGGACGAGUCCCCUUAGGGCGGACCGCGGGAGGACGUCUAUAUCAGAGUUCGACCUCAGAUCGGGCAGGGACACCGCCUGAACUUAAGCAUAUCAAUAAGCGGAGGA